rnacentral:rRNA from 1 species
GAUGAACGCUGGCGGCGUGCCUAAUACAUGCAAGUCGAGCGAACAGACGAGGAGCUUGCUCCUCUGAUGUUAGCGGCGGACGGGUGAGUAACACGUGGAUAACCUACCUAUAAGACUGGGAUAACUUCGGGAAACCGGAGCUAUACCGGAUAACAUGUUGAACCGCAUGGUUCAACAGUGAAAGACGGUCCUGCUGUCACUUAUAGAUGGAUCCGCGCCGCAUUAGCUAGUUGGUAAGGUAACGGCUUACCAAGGCAACGAUGCGUAGCCGACCUGAGAGGGUGAUCGGCCACACUGGAACUGAGACACGGUCCAGACUCCUACGGGAGGCAGCAGUAGGGAAUCUUCCGCAAUGGGCGAAAGCCUGACGGAGCAACGCCGCGUGAGUGAAGAAGGUCUUCGGAUCGUAAAACUCUGUUAUUAGGGAAGAACAAAUGUGUAAGUAACUAUGCACGUCUUGACGGUACCUAAUCAGAAAGCCACGGCUAACUACGUG